GUAAGGAAUCUUGCGCAAUGGGCGAAAGCCUGACGCAGCGACGCCGCGUGGGUGAUGGAGGCCUUCGGGUCGUAAAACCCUGUGGGGAGGGAAGAAAGGCUCGCAAGAGCUUGACGGUACCUCCUUAGCAAGCACCGGCCAACUACGUGCCAGCAGCCGCGGUAAAACGUAGGGUGCAAACGUUGUUCGGAAUCACUGGGCGUAAAGCGCGUGUAGGCGGCUUGGUAUGUCGGGCGUGAAAGCCCUUGGCUCAACCAAGGAAAGCCGUUCGAAACUACCUGGCUGGAGUGCGGGAGAGGGGGAUGGAAUUCCCGGUGUAGAGGUGAAAUUCGUAGAUAUCGGGAGGAACACCAAUAGCGAAGGCAGUCCCCUGGACCGCAACUGACGCUGAGACGCGAAAGCGUGGGGAGCAAACAGGAUUAGAAACCCCAGUAGUCC
rnacentral:rRNA from 1 species